rnacentral:rRNA from 1 species
UGAGGAACAUGACCUUCGGCGGGGGAUAGCCGGCCCAACGGCCGGGUAAUACCGCGUACGACCACAUGGGGACAUCCCCGGAUGGUGAAAGCAGCAAUGCGCCGAUGGAGUGCCUCGCGGCCUAUCAGCUAGUUGGUGAGGUAACGGCUCACCAAGGCAACGAUGCGUAGCCGACCUGAGAGGGUGAUCGGCCACAUCGGAACUGAGACACGGUCCAGACUCCGUAGGGACG